CUGAUUGGUUGGAGAGAAUCAUCACUAAUCACUGCAUCAUCAUCGCUAGCAACAGAUGGGUGUGUCAUAAACAAACC